UUCUAUUGUCUUCUUUCCCAGUGCUGUCAUCUCCCUUUAUUUAAGGACUCUACUUCAGGACUUGAGAGACCCCAGAGAAGAAACUGAGGCAACCUAGGAUCAUAACAGAUCACAUAACUAUUCCAGGGUUUCAAAAUAUAAGCAAGUGGCUACUUACGGGAUUAAACAGAUAUAAGGGAUGUGUAUAUUCAUGUCCAUUCAGUCUCUCUUUCCAAGACCCACACAGUCUGUUACUAACAAAGGUUUUCCAUUCAAACCUACAAAAUUUUGGCAAGUACUUAUUACUGUGUUGUCCAUUAACACUUUGGGUUUUGAUGUAUUCUUGUUGCUUUACUAUAAAGAUUAUUAGUUU